GACAGAGGCCUCGAGCGUUAGGCGGAAUCACUGGGCUUAAAGCGUGUGUAGGCGGAUCGUUAAGUGCCUUGUGAAAUCCCACGGCUUAACUGUGGAACGGCUGGGCAUACUGGCGGUCUUGAGCCAUCUAGGGGCGACUGGAACAAACGGUGGAGCGGUGAAAUGCGUAGAUAUCGUUUGGAACGCCAAUGGUGAAAACAGGUCGCUGGGGAUGAGCUGACGCGUGAGACACGGAAAGCCCAGGGGAGCAAACGGG
rnacentral:rRNA from 1 species